CUAUAAUCAAGUUAUUGAGGUCAGGGCAGCAGACUUGCAAGGACAGGAAGUGGAGGGCUCCAUCACCUUCUCAGUCUCCGGGCUCUGUCCAGCACACCAGAACCCACGGGAACUGCGCAAAAUGUGUGGGUGGGGUUGCUGGCCUGUUCUCUGCGGUCUGACCUUGCUGCCUGUGUGUUGCCCGGGAUCCUGGUUCUGACUCUGUUCUGGAUGUGACAUGCCUGUUUCCACUGUGUGUGCC
rnacentral:lncRNA from 1 species